CUUCUUCGACUUGUUGCGGGCAGAUGAAAUGAAUGUGGCUGUCAAUGCCGCCGGCGGUGGCGAUCAAACCUUCGCCGGCGAUAGCCUCGGUGCCGGGACCGAUGAUGAUGGUUACGCCCGGCUGCACGUCGGGAUUACCGGCCUUGCCGAUCCCGACGAUGCGGCCAUCCUUGAUCCCGAUGUCGGCCUUGACGAUGCCCCAGUAAUCCACGAUCAGCGCAUUGGUGAUCACGGUAUCGACGGCGCCUUCCGCCUGUGAGCGCUGCGAUUGGCCCAUGCCGUCGCGGAU
rnacentral:sRNA from 1 species